GAUGAACGCUAGCGGCAGGCUUAACACAUGCAAGUCGAGGGGUAUGGGAAGCUUGCUUCCCAGAGACCGGCGCACGGGUGCGUAACGCGUAUGCAACCUACCUAUCACUGGGGGAUAGCCCGGGGAAACCCGGAUUAAUACCGCAUAACACAGGGGCUCCUCAUGGAGAUAUUUGUUAAAGAUUUAUCGGUGGUAGAUGG
rnacentral:rRNA from 1 species